rnacentral:rRNA from 1 species
GAUGAACGCUUGCGGCGUGCCUAACACAUGCAAGUCGAGCGAGGGUUUGCUCAGUAUUGAGUAUUCUAAAACUAGAAUGUUCAAUUCUGAGCAAAACCAAGCGGCGGACGGGUGAGUAACGCGUGGGUAACCUGCCCUAUACACAUGGAUAACAUACUGAAAAGUUUACUAAUACAUGAUAAUAUAUAUUUGCGGCAUCGCAGAUAUAUCAAAGUGUUAGCGGUAUAGGAUGGACCCGCGUCUGAUUAGCUAGUUGGUGAGAUAACUGCCCACCAAGGCGACGAUCAGUAGCCGACCUGAGAGGGUGAUCGGCCACAUUGGAACUGAGACACGGUCCAAACUCCUACGGGAGGCAGCAGUGGGGAAUAUUGCACAAUGGGCGAAAGCCUGAUGCAGCAACGCCGCGUGAACGAUGAAGGUCUUCGGAUCGUAAAGUUCUGUUGCAGGGGAAGAUAAUGACGGUACCCUGUGAGGAAGCCCCGGCUAACUACGUGCCAGCAGCCGCGGUAAUACGUAGGGGGCUAGCGUUAUCCGGAUUUACUGGGCGUAAAGGGUGCGUAGGUGGUCCUUCAAGUCGGUGGUUAAAGGCUACGGCUCAACCGUAGUAAGCCGCCGAAACUGGAGGACUUGAGUGCAGGAGAGGAAAGUGGAAUUCCCAGUGUAGCGGUGAAAUGCGUAGAUAUUGGGAGGAACACCAGUAGCGAAGGCGGCUUUCUGGACUGCAACUGACACUGAGGCACGAAAGCGUGGGUAGCAAACAGGAUUAGAUACCCUGGUAGUCCACGCUGUAAACGAUGAGUACUAGGUGUCGGGGGUUACCCCCC